rnacentral:rRNA from 1 species
GAUCCUGGCUCAGGAUGAACGCUGGCGGCGUGCCUAACACAUGCAAGUCGAGCGAUUUACUUCGGUAAAGAGCGGCGGACGGGUGAGUAACGCGUGGGUAACCUGCCCUGUACACACGGAUAACAUACCGAAAGGUAUGCUAAUACGAGAUAACAUGAGAAAGUCGCAUGGCUUUCUUAUCAAAGCUCUGGCGGUACAGGAUGGACCCGCGUCUGAUUAGCUAGUUGGUAAGGUAACGGCUU